CAAGGCUGGAUGCACGCCACGAGGUGUUGCAGCAGCUGUGCAGGCCCCAUCGGAAAGGCCACGGCGCCCGCCGCCAUAUGACGAGGCGGUCACCCGGCUGGCGGCUGGCGCCCACCACUUCCCUCGAAGCAAGGAGCCGCUGCAGGGCCUGGGUGAGUCGCCCAGCAAGCAGCAGCAGCCUGACGACGACUACUCGGAGCUGCUCAGGGUGGUCAGCCUGCAGAGGGAGCGACUGCACAACACCCAUGAGGAAGUGGCCCAAAAAGAUGCCGAGCUGUCCGCAUGGGAAGGAGCAGAGGCCAGCAGCCCAAGCCUGGAAGAGCAGCUGUGCUUGUCACGACAGGAAGAGCGCACGCUGCGCUCUGAGCUGACCCUGGCACACUCGCAGCUGGCCAACUGUGAGGCACGCCUGCUGCAGUGCCGCCAGCGCCUCUGCCAGCUGGGACACGAGGUCAGG
rnacentral:lncRNA from 1 species